UACGGGGGGGGCAAGCGUUGUUCGGAAUUACUGGGCGUAAAGGGUUCGUAGGUGGCUUGUUAAGUCAGACGUGAAAUCCCUCAGCUUAACUGGGGAACUGCGUCUGAGACUGGUGAGCUUGAGUGCAGGAGAGGAACGCGGAAUUCCAGGUGUAGCGGUGAAAUGCGUAGAUAUCUGGAGGAACACCGGUGGCGAAGGCGGCGUUCUGGACUGCAACUGACACUGAUGAACGAAAGCCAGGGGAGCAAACGGG
rnacentral:rRNA from 1 species